rnacentral:rRNA from 1 species
GAUGAACGCUGGCGGCGUGCCUAAUACGUGCAAGUCGAGCGAACAGAUGAGGAGCUUGCUCCUCUGACGUUAGCGGCGGACGGGUGAGUAACACGUGGAUAACCUACCUAUAAGACUGGGAUAACUUCGGGAAACCGGAGCUAAUACCGGAUAAUAUAUUGAACCGCAUGGUUCAAUAGUGAAAGACGGUUUUGCUGUCACUUAUAGAUGGAUCCGCGCCGCAUUAGCUAGUUGGUAAGGUAACGGCUUACCAAGGCAACGAUGCGUAGCCGACCUGAGUGGGUGAUCGGCCACACUGGAACUGAGACACGGUCCAGACUCCUACGGGAGGCAGCAGUAGGGAAUCUUCCGCAAUGGGCGAAAGCCUGACGGAGCAACGCCGCGUGAGUGAUGAAGGUCUUCGGAUCGUAAAACUCUGUUAUUAGGGAAGAACAAAUGUGUAAGUAACUAUGCACGUCUUGACGGUACCUAAUCAGAAAGCCACGGCUAACUACGUG